rnacentral:rRNA from 1 species
UACGUAGGUGGCGAGCGUUAUCCGGAUUUACUGGGCGUAAAGGGAGCGUAGGCGGAUGAUUAAGUGGGAUGUGAAAUACCCGGGCUCAACUUGGGUGCUGCAUUCCAAACUGGUUAUCUAGAGUGCAGGAGAGGAGAGUGGAAUUCCUAGUGUAGCGGUGAAAUGCGUAGAGAUUAGGAAGAACACCAGUGGCGAAGGCGACUCUCUGGACUGUAACUGACGCUGAGGCUCGAAAGCGUGGGGAGCAAACAGGAUUAGAAACCCCCGUAGUCC